AUGCCCAGGGGAACGGCAACAGAGCUGUUAGGUACCUACUAUGUGCCAGCACAAGGGCUUCACAAAAUAACAGUAAAAGCAUCUAUUUAACACCUGCUACGUGCCACGGGGAGCAGCAACAGAAGCUCCAAUUAUUAGGCCCCUACUGUGUGUCAAGCAUUCUGCCAAGGGCUUCAUAGGAUGAUAGCAAAAUAAUCUAUGCUGAACACCUACUAUGUGCCAGGCACCAUGCCAAGGGAAACAGCAACAGAAGCUCUAUUAGGCACCUACUAUGUGCCAGCACCAAGGGCUUCACAAAAUAAUAGUAAAAGCGUUUAUUUACUAAACACCUACCACGUGGC